UACAGAGGUCUCAAGCGUUGUUCGGAUUCAUUGGACGUAAAGGGUGCGUAGGCGGCGCGGUAAGUCGGGUGUGAAAUCUUGGAGCUUAACUCCGAAACUGCAUUCGAUACUGCCGUGCUUGAGGACUGGAGAGGAGACUGGAAUUUACGGUGUAGCGGUGAAAUGCGUAGAUAUCGUAAGGAAGACCAGUGGCGAAGGCGGGUCUCUGGACAGUUCCUGACGCUGAGACACGAAGGCCAGGGGAGCAAACGGG
rnacentral:rRNA from 1 species